GUCCACGCCGUAAACGAUGAGUGCUAAGUGUUAGAGGGUUUCCGCCCUUUAGUGCUGCAGCUAACGCAUUAAGCACUCCGCCUGGGGAGUACGGCCGCAAGGCUGAAACUCAAAGGAAUUGACGGGGGCCCGCACAAGCGGUGGAGCAUGUGGUUUAAUUCGAAGCAACGCGAAGAACCUUACCAGGUCUUGACAUCCUCUGACAACCCUAGAGAUAGGGCUUUCCCCUUCGGGGGACAGAGUGACAGGUGGUGCAUGGUUGUCGNCAGCUCGUGUCGUGAGAUGUUGGGUUAAGUCCCGCAACGAGCGCAACCCUUGAUCUUAGUUGCCAGCAUUCAGUUGGGCACUCUAAGGUGACUGCCGGUGACAAACCGGAGGAAGGUGGGGAUGACGUCAAAUCAUCAUGCCCCUUAUGACCUGGGCUACACACG
rnacentral:rRNA from 1 species